GAUGAACGCUGGCGGCGUGCCUAAUACAUGCAAGUCGAGCGAACAGACGAGGAGCUUGCUCCUCUGACGUUAGCGGCGGACGGGUGAGUAACACGUGGAUAACCUACCUAUAAGACUGGGAUAACUUCGGGAAACCGGAGCUAAUACCGGAUAAUAUAUUGAACCGCAUGGUUCAAUAGUGAAAGACGGUUUUGCUGUCACUUAUAGAUGGAUCCGCGCCGCAUUAGCUAGUUGGUAAGGUAACGGCUUACCAAGGCGACGAUGCGUAGCCGACCUGAGAGGGUGAUCGGCCACACUGGAACGGAGCCACGGUCCAGACUCCUACGGGAGGCAGCAGUAGGGAAUCUUCCGCAAUGGGCGAAAGCCUGACGGAGCAACGCCGCGUGAGUGAUGAAGGUCUUCGGAUCGUAAAACUCUGUUAUUAGGGAAGAACAAAUGUGUAAGUAACUAUGCACGUCUUGACGGUACCUAAUCAGAAAGCCACGGCUAACUAAGUG
rnacentral:rRNA from 1 species